UAAUCGAUUGAAGUUUUGAGAUAAGUGGAAUUGAAAUUGAUUGAUUUCAUGAAUUCCCUUUGUUCCUGAUUAUCUUAGGAAGGAAGGAAGGAUUUUGAGUUUAUUGUAUUAAUAAUUUUAGAUUUAGUUCAGGGUGUGUUCUUCCAAACUUCAGCUCCAUUGAAGUUAUUGAAGAAUUGAUGAAGAAAUAUGUCGAGGCAAUGAAGAAAUAGAAGAAGAUGGUGAAGGUGAGAGAUUUCUGUGGUGGUUUCGGAUAUCAAUGCGGUUGGGAAAGACCAAAAGACUGAGGAUAAUUCUGACAGUCAUGAUCAACAAUCUUUGUCCAACACAAUCGAAGAUAUGUUAUAUUGUUUGAAAACUAUGAUUUAUUGAUGCGGAAGGGGAAAAUGGGUAACAGUCUUCAGUGUAUGUUGAGCAGAGGACAAAAUGCUAACAGUUGUUGCUGCCUGCUGUUGGAGGACUUGCACUUGGAGGUGGUUUAGAAUUGGCAAUGGGAUGUCAUGCACGAAUUGCAACACCGAGAGUUCAGCUUGGCUGGCCAGAGCUUGCACUUGGAAUUAUUCCUAGGGAUGGGAGGUACUCUUUGAUUAUGAAUACAAACUACAAAGCCCAAUGUUGAGGAUUUUCAAUUAAGACAUUUUACAUAUGAUGUUUUCAUCUUAUCUUCUCCAUUGCUUCUCCCACUUUAUGGAAUUUCUCUUGCUGCAAUUGGCUUUUAGGUAGUUUAGUUGUUGUCUCAAGAGAUGUCUUCACCGGUCUUUCUUCUAAUUCAAUGCAUAUACUUCAAAGGUUGGGGUUGAGUGGCUAUUUGCUAAGUUGAACACUCAAUAAUGAGAUUGGUCACUUUGGCACCUUCUCUUCUUAUGAACCUCAAAGCUAGACCUUGUAUUCAAGAUAAAGUUGCAUAGAGUGUUUUGUGAUCCAACUUCUGCUAUAUUAGUUCUAGCUUUAUCCUUUGUUUCUUUCCUUCUUGGUUCAAGCUGUUACUAUUUGGUACCAGCUCGAGGGAGAGUAUUAGAAUAUGUGUAGUCUCUCAUAAGUGUAACUAUAAAUACUCGUCCACCAUUUCUGUGACUAUUUUUACACUCUAAUGAUAUUGGUUCUAUUAAGCUCAA